GCAGCAGUGGUGUAAGGCAAAGCAUCGCUGCCCGAGAAGCAGAAGGUGCGGGUUCGAGUCCCUCCUGGCGCA
rnacentral:tRNA from 1 species